rnacentral:tRNA from 1 species
GCCCCCGUAGCUCAGUGGAUAGAGCAACGGAUUCCUAAUCCGUUGGCCGCAGGUCCGAUUCCUGCCGGGGGCACCA